rnacentral:tRNA from 1 species
CGUUCUAUGGCCGAAUUGGUAAAGGCAUCGCCGAUCAUAGGUGAGGUUGCGGGUUUGAGUCCCGCUGGAACUA